GGUGUAGUUCAGAGGUAGAAUAUUUGCCUUGUAUGCAGAAGGCCCUGGAUUCAAUUCUCAGCACC
rnacentral:tRNA from 1 species